rnacentral:lncRNA from 1 species
CCUGUUCCUGAUGAGAUCUCUUCAAAGAGUACUGCAAGACUCAUACCCUCAUUGGUUUCUGGUCUUAGCUCAAAUGAUAUCUUCUUAACGAGUUUCUCCCUGGCAACUCUAUUUAAAAUGAUAACCCUCUUUCCUCCUGUGUUCUGGGUACACUCUGUCUUUCUUCUGUGGUUGACUUAUCCAUGGCUCUCACCAUCAUUGACUUAUUAUAUGUCCCACUUGUUUAUUUUGUUUUCAGUCUUGUGCCACUAGUAUGUAAUUCCAUGAGAAAAAAAAAUAAUUUUUAUCUAUUUUGUUCAUUGCUGCGCACUCUGGGACCUUCAGUGGUACCUAGAACAAUAGUUGCUCAAUGAAUAUGUGUUGAAGGAAGGAAUGUAGUCCACACCUUGAGAAACUUCUCUGUAGGAUAUGUAGAUUUGGGCAGCUGAGGUCACAAAGAGUUCUCAAACAUUUUAAAAUCUUCAUUUACACAAACCCUAAUGUGCAUCUUUUAAAAGAGCUGCUGCUUGUUAAGAUGGAAGCUUCUAGAACACAUAGGUGGAAUGGAUAAAGGAAACACUCCUGCAACUCUUCAGAAGGCUAGAAAAACAGUCCAGCUCAUUGAAAGAGCAUGUAGAGUUUUAGAGAGAAAAAAACUGCAAUUAUUCAAAAUAACAAUUUUUUGAGCAAAGUCUGCAUUCUCAACUUUGUUGCUUUCUAGAGGCCUCUGAAUUUAGAGGACAAGGCUCCAGAUACAAAUAAUUCUGAUGUGUUUCUCUUCUUCCCAGAGCCAACUUUUCUUAUUUUUGAAGGAAGGACACAUGCUUAUGAUUGGCAUUUCCUUUAGGCUCUGGAAAUUGUCCUCUAUCACCAUCCAGAUAAAAUCUCUCUCGCCUGCUCUUAACACUGAAGGACUGAGUGAAUUCCAAGUGCAGUCUUGCUGAGUGACUCAUAUCCCCAUUUCACAUGAUUUGGACCUUAUUUAGCCAAGGACAUUUAAGAGCUUCUGGAUGAAUUAUUUAAGGAAUGAGCAAGGAGACAUGAGAUGUACAUCCUGAGAUUCAAGUUUAACUCAGCAGAACGAGUUGGAGGCAAGAAAACAAGCACAUCAUGUAUGUGUGAGAUUGGAGGCUCAACAGUCCAGAACAAGGCUUUAGACAAUUUACAUGAUAGAAUUUGGCGGAAGACUACUACCUUGAUAUUGUCAGAAAAUGGAAGGGCAAAAUGAGAUAAUUAGCAUUGAUUUAUAGUUACUGGGCUCCUUAGGUCUCAUAGUAUAAAGCCCAAGGAACUUACUGCAAAUAUGAUUUCUUCACUUGCUAGUAAAGUGUCACUCACAUAACAUAUUAUAAUAUUCUGCAGUUGACACGAGACCUUUCCUGGUUGUAGGCAUGAUAAUCUGAUAAUAACCCAUCUAGGGCUGGGGUUGUAGCUCAGUGGUAGAGCACUUGCCUAGCACGUGUGAGGUACUGGCUUCAAUCCUCUGUACCACAUAAAAAUAAAUAAAUAAAAUAAAGGUAUUAUGUACCUUUAUGACAAAAAAUAAGCCAAAAACAAACAAACAAACAACAAAC